rnacentral:rRNA from 1 species
GACUGUCGGAACGGAUAUCCUCCGGCUCACGCAUCCGUGAAAGACGUAGCAAAUGGAUACUUGUGUGAAAGUGCAGAAUCACGUGAACCAUCCGGUUUUUGAACGCAAGUUAUGCGCCCGAAGUCCAUUCGGUUGAAGGCACGUCUUGCCGUGGCGUCA